CCACUUUUUCCUGGGUUCAGAAGGCUUUCUAUUUGUGGAAAGAAAACUUCAGAGAGAACAGCCAUUCGUUUGCCACAAAGGCAGAUCUCAUUUAGAAAAUGGGAUUAUAAAGGCCUGUCUAAAUAUCCCAUUCAUCAGGAGCUGAGAGGCCUUAUUGGGAUUCAGUGCGGCAGGAGCUCAGGAAAACGUGUAAUCCUGGUUUGGAUGUGUUACGCUUAGGAUGCUCCCUGGAACAUCUGGUUUGAGACCAACAGACAUCUGGUUUUGAAAGGCUGGAUCUCAGGACAUCAUCAGCAUAAAAGGCUCAGUUAAGCAGUCAGAUAAACAAAAAACGGAAACAGAUAGCUAUACAAAAGUGUUAUGGAUGGAAGCACAAAACAGUCCCUGCCCUUGAAAAGCUUGAAUUUCCCAGCAUCAUACAAAGGGAUGAAGGAAAAUGAAUUAGAAGCAAAAGAGAAAACAGCAUUAAUUCUCAAAUACUAUGAGCACAGAACAAAUGCUGCCUUACAGGCUCUUCUACAACAAGCUGCCUGCCAUCCAUACAUCAAGAUAAUUCAGGAUUCUUCGGAAGAUGUAACAGAAAUAAAUAACUCUGUGCAAUGAGCCUCUAAUAAUAAACAUUAGAAGAGGCAUGGAACAGAGAG